UGAUGAAGGAAGCAUGGUUGUGUGCACGAAAAUUGAUCUUAAUUGGUCAACGUGUCUACUCUCUCUGUUCGCUCAUGAUUUGAGGGCCUGGUUACUACCCGCAUUU
rnacentral:snoRNA from 1 species